ACCUUGCUGAUGAGUGCCAAAUAGCACGAAACCCGUUUCCAGGGU
rnacentral:hammerhead_ribozyme from 1 species